AAAAUGAGGAGAAGAGAAUAUAUGGAAGGUUACCUGAGAUUCACAAAAUUAUAACAAUAUUGGAUGAAUGCCUUUUUAGGAAAGAUAGAAAGGGCAGUGGAGAAAAACAAUCCAAUAUGGAGGACAAAGCAUACUCAAGCACAGGGUUUGAGUUUUACUCUAGCUACAAGGAAAUUGGUCAGGUGAUUUCUCCAUUUUUUACUGAUACAUGAGUUGUGAAAAAUGAUUGAAAUCUUGUACCUGCCUGUGUCACAAGUCUAUUUUGUGGUUUCAUUGUUAUUGUAUGUGAAAAUCUUCCUAAAUUCAUUCAUCUUGCAGAUAUGACCAAAUGGUGUAUCCAAAGACUGGUCCUGUUUAUUUAAGUAUAAAAACUUUUUUUUGCUUGGAGAAAUAGAAUAAAAAUUGGUUUGCUUUCUGUCAUCAGAGGAAAUAAUUUAUAUUGCUUUAUGUGUGUGUAUGUACUCCUUCCUUCUAUGUUUAUAUCAUAAUUUGUUUUCUUCAGAAGCAGAGGCUAAUUUUGAUUUGAAGGAGAAGUCUACAAAGCUGAGACAUUUUGUGGAAGGAUCUGGCCCCCAAAGAUGCGUGAAUAAGGAUCCCCAUGAUAUCAUUAUGAGAGAAAUCUGUGACUCUGAUAUCAAGAUAAAUGAAAAUAUAAAGGGUGACUGUGAAUUUGAUGGCACUGCAGAGAAAUUCAGUCAAUGUUCAGUCCUAAAUCAGUAUAUGAAAGUGUCCUCAGGAAAUGACUGUUGUCAAGAGAAUCAAUACGGCCAAUGCUUUCCUGAAGAAGUAGGACUUGGUCAGUUAAAUGAGAAAACUCCUGAAAAGCCCAUAUAUCAAGUUCAUUGUCUUAUUCACAUAAAAUGAGGACUAACCCCUGCUGCCCUAGGAAGAGUUGGGAGACCUCAGGGCCUACACUUAAAUCCUGGAAGGGAAACAUGGAUGGAAUCAAGAAGAUCCAAGGUAGAAUUGCCCCUGAGACACUUGGUGGCUGUGUGAUGCUAAAGAAGUCUUGGCAGCUUCUGCUAUUUACCCUAUUAGCUGUGAGUUCUCUAUUUUGGUUCCUUUUAUCCUUUUAUCUGUAUAAUUGAAAAUAUGUUACCCUAAAAAACAUUUCCAGAGAACCCACUGACUUUCUGUCAUUAUGUACUUCCUGUACAUAGGGGAUAUUAGGCGGGGACGUGGAGAAACUCGUCCUCUUUUUGGCCCUGUCAGUGAGCAUGGAGGUGGUGAGUGGGGAUUUUUAAAUG
rnacentral:lncRNA from 1 species